CAGUCGCCGCGGUAAGACAGAGGAUGCAAGCGUUAUCCGGAAUGAUUGGGCGUAAAGCGUCUGUAGGUGGCUUUUCAAGUCCGCCGUCAAAUCCCAGGGCUCAACCCUGGACAGGCGGUGGAAACUACCAAGCUGGAGUACGGUAGGGGCAGAGGGAAUUUCCAGUGGAGCGGUGAAAUGCGUUGAGAUCGAAAAGAACACCAACAGCGAAAGCACUCUGCUGGGACGACACUGACACUAAGAGACGAAAGCUAGGGGAGCAAAUGGGAUUAGAUACCCGCGUAGUCCCUGUCUCUUAUAC
rnacentral:rRNA from 1 species